rnacentral:lncRNA from 1 species
UUUUUUUUUUCUUUUUUGGUACUUACAUUCAAUUAAAAAUUAUUUUGCAGUAAGUUGCAGUAAAUAAUAGUAAGUUUCUAAUUUCUACACACAAUCUAUUCAUGGCUUAAAAUUGUCUAUGGGUAAACCAUAGUGAUAUAUUUUGUAUGGUUUUUAUAUUGUUCAAUAAUUUGAACUGGAUCCCUACAUUUAAUUGAGAGUUGGUGUAAAAAAAACUAUUUCUGACUUCUCUUCCUAUGCUGGUGAUAUCUAGUCCAUAUUUCAGCAGGGAAACAAUUGCUUGACCUUUGUAGAUGCUCUCUUUUUUUGAGGAAGCAUAGGCUUUCAUGUUCACUACAGUCUAUUGGAUUAUACCUGCCUGUGCAAUCCAUUUAUAUUACCUUCCAAGCCUCUGCUGGCAUCUAAGUUUGAAAACUCUAGUCUAUAAGUGCUAUGAUUCUUUUAUCCUACUCCAGGUUCACACAUCCACAAUCUCCUUCCCCUGUAUAUUUCAUCUGUGUCUCUUAAGACAUACACAUAUUGAUAAUGAGUAAAUUUCUUUCCAGCGAUAAAUAACCAUCAAGGGUCUAUGUAUAACCCUGGGAAAUAGCCUGGUCAAAGUGAACCAGGACCAUGACAAGAUUAAUUUUGUGUAAAGUAAUCUCAAAAGAUUAUGUUGAUCAAGACAUGUGCACACUUAAAAUUUGCAAUAAAGUAAAUGUUCUUCAACUUCAUUUCUCCUCCAAAGAUGAGAAUAUAUUAAUAUAUUCCUUUUAGAAAGACAAUGUCCUAUUUUAAAUUUUGCAUGUUCAGGUCUUCUUAAAAAGAAUGACUAGAAAAGUUCUAUAAAUCUUUUGAAAUUAUAAUAAGUAAGACAGUAAUGGCACAAAUCACAAAUACUGUAAAAUUGCCUUAGGCAUUAUAUUUUCUAUAAAUUAGCAUUUUAGAGUACAUUUUGAAUUUAUGAUCAAGUGGUAAUGCAUAAGAGCAUUUUGACUUAAAUUUAAAAAGAUGUACGAUAUAUAUGCAUAUAUACAUUUAUAUAUAAAGUUAUAACCAAUCCAAAAACAUUUUUAUUGCUCUUCUUUAUUAUAUUUUCUUUUUCCCUCUUUCUCUAUUAAGUCAUUUAUUUUUAAACCUAGAGUUAUAAUAUUUUAAGGAAAUUCAGCUUUGUAAACAGACUAAGCAAUAGAUUGUCAAAUAGGUGGUUUCUAUUCCCUUCAGGUUAUAAUACCCAAAUAAAGUGAUAUAAAAAUCGUUCAGACAAAAGACCUUCACAUUCCUGUUACCUCACAAAAUUCUGUGUUUAGAGUUAUAAUAUUCUUUGUUAAUUAGAGAUUAUCAGAAUUUAAACAUUUUUUGGGGGAGAGAAUGCAUCUUCCAAUGCAGCUCUAUUUUAGGAAACUUUUUUCAUUCAUUUCUAAUUUGUGCAUAAAGUUUUCUCUUGGGACUAAAACCCUUGCUUUGGAUGCCAAAAAAGCCAUCUUGUAGGAAGUCAGUCACUGUAAGACAUUGGCACAGAAUAGAAAAAUAUUCCCAUCCUACUUCACUACAAGAUGCGGUCUGUGGAAAUUAUCAGUAAUUCUAAGCAUUUACACAAUCACUGUUCAAAGUGACAUUAUCAGAGACAUGGCAUUGACAGGAAGAACUGCCGAAUGGUAAGAAAUAUAAAGUAAUUUGCAGAAAUAUCACAAUGAUGCCAAAAUAGCUUUAGGUAAUAGAAAUUAUUUGUAUGUCCAUGUCUUUAGAACUAGGAAACAAAGUUUAAGAAACUGGGUUAUGUCAGGAAUUAAACUGAUCUAUGCCUUUAAUGUGUCUAAAUUACACUAAAACAAAAAUUAAAACCUUUGUGUUGCCUUUGUAUUCAAUACCUCUUCCUAAUAUGUUCAUUUGUUUAUUUGUAGUCUUUGUGUAUUUGUAAUCACAGAAAAUUUGUGUACUGAAACAACAAUAAUAAAACACAGAAGAGUGAAAGAUUCAUCAAAUAUGUGUGCUUAACUUCAGUACAUCUUUUGUUAGAAAACAUAAAUAUUUUGUUUGCCAAGGAUUGAUAUUAACAAUAGGCUUUGGAACCUACUCAGUGAUCUAUAACUGUGCUACCCCAUUUUGAUGUGUUAAAUCAUAUGGAUUUUUAGAAUCACAGUGUGACCAUCUAAGAGAAAAAUUAAAAGGAAACACAAUCAAUAGUGAGGAAGACCUAGAUCCAAGUAAGAGCUAAGGAUAAAUGAUUUUGUUUUUUCCUAACAAAAGAUUGAGAAAAUGUCUUAUUUAGUUGAUUAGGGAUUUUUGGUUUUGUGUAUAAAUGUUACAGGGCAGUGGUCUCUCAUUGAGUUGUUGGCAAAGAAAAAAAAAAACUACCUCUUAAUCACACUAACGAGACUUAGUGUGAAGAACGAGAAAGAUAACAUAAUAUGGUUACUAAAAAUACUGUAGAUUGCUACUGUUUUAUAUAUAUGAUAUUCUCCAAGAUCCUUUACUAUGGUCAUGUAAAAUAUUGAAAAGAUAUGUAUUUAGUUCUCAAAAUAUAAUCCUGGCUGUGAAACACAGUAAAACAAACUACUUAUUUAUUCAUAUAUUAAAUGGUUAUAUGUCGAGUAUGUGGUAUGAGUCAGGCACAGCUCUAAAUACAGAUGAUUAAGUGAUGAAAGAUGGACAUUAAACUCGUAAAACUUAUGUUUUAGUAAGAAAGGGCAGGUAUUAAGCAAGCAAAAACAAGAAACAAACAUGAUUAUUUCUAAUAGUAGCUCUGACAAGCUUAAAAUGGAGAGUGGUACCAGAAAAUAGGGUGUUGUUAUAAUAACUAAAUAAACUACAGUAGCUUAGUGGUUCGGUAGCAGGCAGGAAGGGAACCGAUAAUAUUGGAAGCAUUUCAGAUGGGAACCAAUGUAUGUAGUAUGCAGCUGUAAACCAUUUGAUAAAAUUGUUGCCCAUGAUAAUUCAAGAAUCAGACUGGUACCUACUGAGCCUGUACCUCUAGAGAAAAUGGUUGAAAUGGAUAAGCGUAGGACUGUGUAUUGAGAUUGUGUAUUGUGUAUCCAGUUGAGAAUUUGUUGAAUCAUGAAAAAAAAAUAAAGAGGAAUUAAAGAGUUCAGAUUUUAGAGUGCUAAAUGGUUACCUAAGUUUACAGCAUAGACCACGAAGAGCAUCAGACAAGAGGCAGAAUAUUUUGAAUGAUUAAGGGCUAUUCGUAUGCAGCCUGGAAGCAAAGAUCAGAUUAAAGCUGUAGCCAUCUCCUCCAAAAGUGUUGCACCAGAAAGCCCCAACAUCUCCAUCAUUAACUGAAAUACAAAUUGUGAAGGCAAACAAUUAAAUAAAUCAAUCUGGCUUGAGAAGUAUAUCUUGAAAAAAAUUUGGUUGCGACUACAAGUAGGUGGAACAUGACUGGAAUAAAAUAGACUGUAUGUCUACUAAGUUUUUAAAGAAAUUGUAUUGCCAAAACUUCUAUAAACUUAGUCUUUGAAAAAGCCUUUGGCAUUUGCAUCCUGAAAACAACUCUUGGAUUCAUAAUCUUCCUGGAUAGGAAGCAUGUGGUGAGCGAUGUUCUUCCCCUACAAGAAUUUUUAGAAAACACUGUAGAUAUCAUCAUGGAGAGUGGAAUCAAAAACCACAGAGAACAAUGAACAAAAGGAAUUUCUGAAAGAGAGCAGGAUCAUGA